GGGUCGAUGAUAGAACCUUAUAUUGUCUGAAGAGAGUGAUGAAACUUAAAAAUCUGCUCAAUAGGAUUACGCUGAGAGCCC